rnacentral:misc_RNA from 1 species
CCGAGUUUACAACUCCCAAACCCCUGUGAACAUACCUACUGUUGCUUCGGCGGAUCAGCCCCGGCUCCCGCGUGCAACGGAGCAGGCGCCGCCAGAGACCCCUAAACUCUUGUAUUUCUUAUGUAUCUUCUGAGUAAACAAGCAAAUAAAUUA